rnacentral:rRNA from 1 species
UACGAGGGGGGCGAGCGUUGUUCGGAAUUAUUGGGCGUAAAGGACGCGUAGGCGGCCUGUUAAGUCGAACGUGAAAUCCCCGGGCUCAACCCGGGAACUGCGUCCGAUACUGGCAGGCUUGAAUCCGGGAGAGGGAUGUGGAAUUCCAGGUGUAGCGGUGAAAUGCGUAGAUAUCUGGAGGAACACCGGUGGCGAAGGCGACAUCCUGGACCGGUAUUGACGCUGAGGCGCGAAAGCGUGGGGAGCAAACAGG